GUGACAGAGUUUAGAAUCUACAGUUUCUGUUCCAACUGUUGCCAAUCCUGUCAUUUCACACAGAUUGAAAGUGACUGAGUACAAACCACAUCUUGAUUUACUUGUCUUUGACUGUUUUAUCUUGUUGUUUACUACAACAAAUCUUAUUGGAUACCAACUUCUCCAAAGGACCGCAAAGUUUGCAGUUUGCUUUGUCGAGAUCAUGGACACCAACACAUCCUUUAACCUGCUGAGAGCGGAGGCUCAGACGUGCACCAGCACUGAGCCUUCACAAGUGCUGCUCCACAGCGCCUCUCUCAAACAGGUCAAUAUCCAGUUCCCUCUUCCUGCUACAGUCACUGUCAGCAGGGACCUGGUGGAAGAUCUGCUCGUCCAGUUGAUGCUGAGGCUCAACCCACUGAGGGGCCACGCUGGCGCUCAUCUGACGCAGCAACAACUGCUAACGCUAUGUCUGCACAUGAGCGCAGUGACUCUGGAGACCCUGAGGAAAGUCCCAGGUGUCUCUGUGGAUGGACACCUCCCUCCUCCUCCCUGCAACACAUGGAAAGCUGCCGUGCUGCUCCAGAGCAGCCUCAUGAAAAAAUUUGGCACAUCCAUUCAGGUGAGGAAGCAGCUGGUGAGAAAAGACCCUGCACUCCUGAGCUUCAUCCCUCACCACAUCAUCGAGGCCGUCCUCAUAACAGACAAGGCUGAGUCUGCAUGGGAGUUCACUCCCACCCAGACACCAAGUGAUCAGGAGAGCCGGCUGUUCUCUCAGUUUCUCCCUGAGUCUAUCAAGGAGGAAAUCUUUGAGCAGCAUGGAUCCUGGAUAAGAUACACAAAGGUCUUUCAGAAGGCUUUCCCCAGGAUAACAGACAAGGAAAUUGUGGACUACCAGCAACGCUUCACAGAGCCUCGUCUGUCCAACCGGGAUGUUGUGUGGGUGGACAAAAAGUACUUUUUGGCUGAUUUCUAUGAGGAGGUAGAAACAACAGCUCUGACCCUGAACCACAGUCUGGCCGGUUGGUUGUUUACUGAUCACAGUAAAGACCAGGGGCUUGUCUCCAGCACUGAGGGGAAACAUCAUAAAGCUGGAACUGAAAACCUCAAACCACAUCAGCUUUGCACUUUCCAGCUUAUGGCAGGCGACUGUGAUACUGAGAGAGCAGAUCUGAUCACAGACAGAGCUUGGGUGAACAAAUCCACCAUCAGAAGUGUCUUGGUGGAAUUUUUUAGAGGCAGGAACCUCUACAGACCAGAGCACCCGAAGACUCAGGCAUUUGAGAACGAGAUGGUGGAGCACAUCCACUUGUUGCUGCAAAAGGAGGCAAAGAAAUACAGGAAUAACAGAGUCUUCCUCCAGAACCUCAAACGCCUCGAGGACUCAAAGAACGAAAUAAAACUGAGCCGGGAACUGUGCCAGCCACUCAAAAUCACACUUUGCGAGGCUCUGCCCAACACCUGGCUGAGUAGAGAGGGCCUGAUGAAGGAUAUUAGGAUGGCCUUGGUGGCCUGCAGCCUCAUAGCCACAGAGAUCAUGAACCACCUCAAGCCUACGGUGAGCUUUGCAGCAGACACCAAGCCUGCAGACUGGACUCCAUAUAACAUCAACAUCCCAAUCAAAAGAGUGGAAACGGAGCCAAAAAGAGAGCUGACCCAGCUGGAGCUGCAUCUGCAGGAAGAGCGAGCUCAAGCCCGUGAGGAGCUCUUCUAUGCCGACACUGAGACUACGGCAGCACAGCCUAAGAAAACUAAGAAGAAGAACAAGCUUAUCUCUUGGCUCUCUAAACUCUUCAGACGGAGAAAGUCAUAGAUGCACAAUGACAAAGACAUUAACCCCAAGCAUCAGGAGCUUUCUACACAUUUUGUUGUUACAUUAUUUUUUUGCUUUCUGCCCAUUUCUUGUGUUACACUAUUGCAUUUAAUUAAUAUGUUUAAAAAGUGC
rnacentral:lncRNA from 1 species